CCUACGGGAGGCAGCAGUGAGGAAUAUUGGUCAAUGGCCGAGAGGCUGAACCAGCCAAGUCGCGUGAGGGAAGCAUGUCCUAUGGAUUGUACACCUCUUUUGGCAGGGAGCAAAGUCACCCACGUGUGGGUGUUGGAGAGUACCUGAAGAAAAAGCAUCGGCUAACUCCGUGCCAGCAGCCGCGGUAAUACGGAGGAUGCGAGCGUUAUCCGGAUUUAUUUGGUUUAAAGGGUGCGUAGGCGGGUUAUCAAGUCAGCGGUAAAAUCGUGGAGCGAAACUCCAUCCAGCCGUUGAAACUGACGAGCUUGAGUGGGCGAGAAGUAUGCGGAAUGCGUGGUGUAGCGGUGAAAUGCAUAGAUAUCACGCAGAACUCCGAUUGCGAAGGCAGCAUACCGGCGCCCGACUGACGCUGAAGCACGAAAGCGUGGGUAUCGAACAGGAUUAGAUACCCUUGUAGUC
rnacentral:rRNA from 1 species